GGAACGAGAAGACCUUUCCCUGGUUUUGACAUCCAGAGAAUUUCCCAGAGAUGGUUGGGCGCUUUGGGGAACUGUGACACAGGUGGCGCAUGGCUGUCGUCAGCUCGUGUUGUGAAAUGUUGGGUUAAGUCCCGCAACGAGCGCAACCCUUGUCCUUUGUUGCCAGCAGGUAAGGCCGGGAAUUCAAAGGAGACUGCCGGUGAUAAACGGGAGGAAGGUGGGGAUG
rnacentral:rRNA from 1 species